GACAGAGGGUGCAAACGUUGUUCGGAUUUACUGGGCGUAAAGCGCGUGUAGGCGGCUUUGCAAGUCGGAUGUGAAAGCCCACGGCUCAACCGUGGAAGUGCAUCCGAAACUGCAUGGCUUGAGUCUCGGAGAGGAAGGUGGAAUGCUUGGUGUAGAGGUGAAAUUCGUAGAUAUCAAGCAGAACACCUGCGGCGAAGGCGGCCUUCUGGACGAUGACUGACGCUGAGACGCGAAAGCCAGGGGAGCGAACGGG
rnacentral:rRNA from 1 species